rnacentral:lncRNA from 1 species
UUCGUGGGUAUCAAUUUUCGUGGUUUGAGCAAUAUUUACAUGUUCGUGGGUUUUUUAAUUCGUGGAUUUUAGUUUUCUAAAAAAAAAAUAAUUAAUAAAUUAAAGCCUUUAUGAACGAAGGUUACAAAUAGUCUGGAUUGAAGGAAAUUGCAAAGUAAACAUUGACCCGUGUAAAUCGUAGUGACAAUACUAAUUAAUCCAUGAUAAA